rnacentral:rRNA from 1 species
UACAGAGGUCUCAAGCGUUGUUCGGAUUCAUUGGGCGUAAAGGGUGCGUAGGUGGCUCCGUAAGUCGGGUGUGAAAUUUCGGAGCUUAACUCCGAAACUGCAUUCGAUACUGCGGUGCUUGAGGACUGGAGGGGAGACUGGAAUUUAUGGUGUAGCAGUGAAAUGCGUAGAGAUCAUAAGGAAGACCAGUGGCGAAGGCGGGUCUCUGGACAGUACCUGACACUGAGGCACGAAGGCCAGGGGAGCAAACGGG